rnacentral:rRNA from 1 species
AGAGUUUGAUCCUGGCUCAGGAUGAACGCUGGCGGCGUGCCUAAUACAUGCAAGUCGAACGGUCUGGUGAAAAUCAGAUAGUGGCGAACGGGUGAGUAACGCGUUGGUGACCUGCCCCGAAGUGAGGGAUAACAGUUCGAAAGGAUUGCUAAUACCGCAUAAUGUCUCCGAGGUUAGAGGCUUGGAGAAGAAAGGAGAAAUUCACUUUGGGAGGGACCUGCGUCCCAUCAGCUAGUUGGUAGGGUAGCGGCCUACCAAGGCGAUGACGGGUAGGGGACCUGAGAGGGUGGCCCCCCACAAUGGAACUGAAACACGGUCCAUACACCUACGGGUGGCAGCAGUAGGGAAUACUGGUAAUCUGCGAAAGCGGGAACCAGCAACGCCGCGUGUGCGAUGAAGGCCUUCGGGUCGUAAAGCACUUUUCGAUGGGAUGAGGAAGGACAGUACCAUCGGAAUAAGUCUCGGCUAACUACGUGCCAGCAGCCGCGGUAAAACGUAGGAGGCGAGCGUUAUCCGGAUUUACUGGGCGUAAAGCGCGUGCAGGCGGUUCUGUAAGUUGGAUGUGAAAGCUCCUGGCUCAACUGGGAGAGGUCGUUCAAUACUACGGGACUCGAGGAUGGUAGAGGGAGGUGGAAUUCCGGGUGUAGUGGUGAAAUGCGUAGAUAUCCGGAGGAACACCAGUGGCGAAAGCGGCCUCCUGGACCAUAUCUGACGCUCAGAUGCGAAAGCUAGGGGAGUAAACGGGAUUAGAGACCCCGGUAAUCCUAGCUGUAAACGAUGUAGACUUGGCGUUGGCGGGUUUAAAUCCGUCGGUGCCGGAGCAAACGCGAUAAGUCUACCGCCUGGGGACUACGGCCGCAAGGUUAAAACUCAAAGGAAUUGACGGGGGCCCGCACAAGCAGCGGAGCGUGUGGUUUAAUUCGAUUUUACACGAAGAACCUUACCAGGGUUUGACAUGCAGGUAGUAGGGAACUGAAAAGGGACCGACCCUCGGGGAGCCUGCACAGGUGUUGCAUGGCUGUCGUCAGCUCGUGUCGUGAGAUGUUCGGUUAAGUCCGCUAACGAGCGCAACCCUCGCUGUGUGUUACAAGUGUCACUCGGGACUGCCGGUAUUAAGCCGGAGGAAGGUGGGGAUGACGUCAAGUCAGCAUGACCUUUAUAUCCUGGGCUACACACACGCUACAAUGGCCAGUACAAUGGGUAGCUAAGCCGCGAGGCUGAGCCAAUCCUAAAAGCUGGUCUCAGUUCAGAUCGUAGGCUGCAACCCGCCUGCGUGAAGACGGAGUUGCUAGUAACCGCAGGUCAGCUAUACUGCGGUGAAUACGUUCCCGGGCCUUGUACACACCGCCCGUCACGUCAUGGGAGCUGGCAACACCUGAAGCCGGUAUCCUAACCCGCAAGGGAGGGAGCCGUCGAGGGUGGGGUCGGUGACUGGGACGAAGUCGUAACAAGGUA